rnacentral:lncRNA from 1 species
GUCGGGAAGAUGGCGCUGCGCGGCCAGCAAACUACCUUCUGAACUGUGUAGCUUCUCAACCCAAACUGGCUCCUUUUGUCACACAAGCUCUCGUUCAAGUCAUUGCUAAAAUUACCGAAUAAGGAUGGUUCAACGUACUGAAAAUCCAGCUUGUCUUCAGAGACAUCAUUGGUGAUGUAAAACAAUUUUUGCAGAAUAUGUCAGGAGGCCAGAAAUUCACCACACUGUAACAGAUGUGUGCCACAUCCAGAACUAAUAAAGAAAAUUGAGUCAUCGACUCUUCUGGUUGUAUUUCUGCUAAUGAUUGUCCUUUUCUGUCUUGACCUAAAGAAGUGCUUCAGACCUUUCCAUCCAAAGGUACAACCUUGAAGGG